rnacentral:hammerhead_ribozyme from 1 species
ACUCAGCUGACGAGUCCUAAAUAGGACGAAACACGAUUCAAACUGAAG